rnacentral:tRNA from 1 species
CCGUUGAUGGUGUAAUGGUCAGCAUUGCUGCCUUCCAAGCAGCAGAUCUGGGUUCAAUUCCCAGUCAACGCAC